UACGAAGGGGGCUAGCGUUACUCGGAUUGACUGGGCGUAAAGGGCGCGUAGGCGGAUGGUACAGUCAGACGUGAAAUUCCUGGGCUCAACCUGGGGGCUGCGUUUGAUACGUGCGGACUUGAGUGCGGAAGAGGGUCGUGGAAUUCCCAAUGUAGAGGUGAAAUUCGUAGAUAUUGGGAAGAACACCGGUGGCGAAGGCGGCGACCUGGUCCGAUACUGACGCUGAGGCGCGAAAGCGUGGGGAGCAAACAGG
rnacentral:rRNA from 1 species